CGAUGAUUUAAUUUGUCCUGGCAGAAUC
rnacentral:sRNA from 1 species